GUGUCAGCCGCCGCGGUAAUACGGAGGAUGCAAGCGUUAUCCGGAAUCAUUGGGCGUAAAGAGUCCGUAGGUGGCACUUCAAGUCUGCUUUCAAAGACCGAAGCUCAACUUCGGAAAGGGAGUGGAAACUGAAGAGCUAGAGUAUAGUAGGGGUAGAGGGAAUUCCUAGUGUAGCGGUGAAAUGCGUAGAGAUUAGGAAGAACACCAGUGGCGAAGGCGCUCUACUGGGCAUAUACUGAAGCUGAGGGACGAAAGCUAGGGGAGCUAAAGGGAUUAGAUACCCCUGUAGUCCUAGCGGUAAACGAUGGAUACUAGGCGUAGUGCUGUUAGAAGGACGGUGCCGAAGCUAACGCGUUAAGUAUCCCGCCUGGGGAGUACGCACGCAAGUGUGAAACUCAAAUGAAUUGGCGUGG
rnacentral:rRNA from 1 species